ACGCUCGACACCUACAGGAGGCAGCAGUUGGGAAUAUUGGACAAUGGAGGAAACUCUGAUCCAGUGACGCCGCGUGAAGGAAGAAGGUCUUCGGAUUGUAAACUUAUUUUGUCAGGGAAGAAAAAUGACUGUACCUGAAGAAAAAGCACCGGCUAACUACGUCCCAGCAGCCGCGGUAAUCUGAGCGGGCUGGCAAGGC
rnacentral:rRNA from 1 species